rnacentral:rRNA from 1 species
CUACCAUGGCGAUAACGGGUAACGGGGAAUUAGGGUUCGACUCCGGAGAGGGAGCCUGAGAAACGGCUACCACAUCUAAGGAAGGCAGCAGGCGCGUAAAUUACCCAAUCCUGAUUCAGGGAGGUAGUGACAAGAAAUAACAACCCAGGGACUUUACGUCUUUUGGGAUUGCAAUGAGAACAAUCUAACAGACAUUAACGAGGAACAAUUGGAGGGCAAGUCUGGUGCCAGCAGCCGCGGUAAUUCCAGCUCCAAUAGCGUAUAUUAAAGUUGUUGCAGUUAAAAAGCUCGUAGUUGAACUUCUGAGGUGAUUAGGCAUUCUUAAAUGAGUGCCGGUUGCCUCAUCCGUCAGAAAAUCAAGAAGGGUCUUAAGUGAUCGUCUUGAGGAUCUGACAUUUUACUUUGAAAAAACUAGAGUGUUCAAGGCAGGCAAUGGCCAUGAAUACACAAGCAUGGAAUAAUAGAAUAUGACUGAGUCAAUUUUGCUGGUUAUUUGACACAGUAAUGAUUAAAAGGGACAGUUGGGGGCAUUAGUAUUUAAUAGUCAGAGGUGAAAUUCUUGGAUUUAUUAAAGACUAACUUAUGCGAAAGCAUUUGCCAAGGAUGUUUUCAUUAAUCAA